UCUGCUGGCUCUGCCGUCGCCGCCCCACCGCUGCCGGCCCUUUAUAACUGUAAAUCCGUGCACUCUCUUUCGCUCGCCGCAACUUAUGCAAUUCCGGCUGCAAUUAUACCGCCGCACGGAUCACCGGGCAAUAACGCACGGACGCGGAACUCAACGUUACCGACUCCAAGUAAAAUGUGAAUGAACAUGAGCGAACGUGGCAAA